rnacentral:rRNA from 1 species
UACGUAGGCAGCGAGCGUUGUUCGGAGUUACUGGGCGUAAAGAGUGCGUAGGCGGUUUUCCAAGUUUGGUGUGAAAUCUCCCGGCUUAACUGGGAGGGUGCGCCGAAAACUGGGAGGCUAGAGUAUGGGAGAGGUAAGCGGAAUUCCUGGUGUAGCGGUGAAAUGCGUAGAUAUCAGGAGGAACACCUGCGGUGUAGACGGCUUACUGGACCAUAACUGACGCUGAGGCACGAAAGCGUGGGGAGCAAAAGGG